UUUGAAGUUGCUUCGUCGAUAUGCUGACGGUGGCUUGAGGUGGUAUUAUAUCGUUGGUUUACAACUGUCAAAGAUCUGUCCGAUUCGGAUGAAAACCAAAAUUGUACGAUGUAGCCGGCUAACCUAACCGAAGUCGAAAGUCCUGAGGUGAUAAGAUAUUGAAACAGAUUACUGUGGCUAUAUAAAUAACGACAGUCGUGGAUAUUUUAGAAGCAUCAGUUGUCUUUUUCAUCUGUUUAUUUUUCAUUUAUAAAGUAGUGUACGCUAUGGAGGUAAUUGUUAAGCUAAAUUCGCAAACAGCCGGCCGCGAUAAACUUGUUAGGUUACUGCAGUAUACGAGCAAAUUCGCUUGGCAUUAUAUGCAGGAAAAGCAGCAUAGCAAACAGUCAGUAGAUCGAUUAAAGGAUCUGGAGUACACAUUUAGUUCCUUCAGAAAAUUGUUGCGUUUGGGCAGGUGUUUGGAUGUGCUUUACGGGGCUUUGUCAUCUGUGCAAUAUCCUGAUUUGACCCUGAGGAUAACUUGUACACUGUCCAGAAUUGCUAAUGCCUUGUACUUGUUGGCUGACCAUAUUCUUUGGUUUGGCAGAACAGGCGUGUUAAAUAUCAACAGUGCCAAAUGGAAUCAAGUUGCAAAUAAGUAUUGGCUGUACUCUAUUGUCAUGAAUUUAGUGCGGGAUGUUUAUGAGAUACUGCAGAUUGUGAAAUAUGAGACUCAUAACUGUAUAGGACUUAAACGCAUGGGCAGCCCUGAUUACUACAGAAAGCCUUCAACAGAUAAACUCUCUGUAAUUAAGUUUGUGCAAGAACACAAGGAUGUUGUUAUUGACACAGUGAAAAAUGGUUGUGACUUCUUUAUUCCAAUGUCUGCUCUGGGCUAUAUCAGAUUAAAUCCUGGUACAGUUGGUGUACUUGGUGUGAUUUCUUCAGUGGCAGCUAUCAUAAGUCUCGUCGAUCCUUUCGCCCGGCUUUCACCAGCAUAACUCAGUACGGGUGGAUUCCACAGAAGUGGUAUUACAGAAGAUACUCGAGAUUUUAAGUAAAAGGGGCUUCUAACAAGAGCCCUGAUGCUAACAGUUACCAGGCUGUAGAUAACACGCACCUAGGUAUUGCUGUUUGAAGCAGUCAGUGGCAGUUGUGGAGAAGAUGCCUCGAAAUUUUUUUAGUACUGGCACUAAAGACCUUGCUGCCAUGUGUCCGAACCAACAGUUCACCAGCUGACUCAGAUUUCUUGGGGGAAUUUUGGGAAAGUGUGGUGCAUCUGUAGAGGAAUCCAUCUAUGACUGCAGUUUGACAUUUUACAGAACAGAUCCAGUCUUCAUAAAGUACAGUGAUAGCAAAAAUAAAGGAAUCCAGACAUAUGCUACUAUACUUCACUAUAACCCACAUGAAAGUGUAAUAGAAAUUAUGAGGGAACUGAAAUAAAGAUCUUUGGAAGAAAGACAAUGUUGUUCACGUGAAACCCUGCUGUGUAAAUUUACGGAAUAAGUAUUUGAAGUGGAAUGUUAAACUAUAUUAUUGCCUCACUUGUACAUCUCACUUAGGGAUUGAUAUUAAGGCAUAUACACUGGUAUAAAAUCAUUCAUUUCUCCCUUGCUCCAUUUGCACACUGAAUAGGAUAAGGAACUGCUUAUGUGGGUACAAAAUACCCUUUUCCAUGUAUGUGAGAUGUUGCUUUUUUGGAAUAAUUAAUAGAAUAUGCCCCAAUCUUUUAAUUAAGCCUAAAAUAAUUUAAGAAUAAAUGUUCUCCCUGUAAAUAAAUCUGCAAAGAAAGGUGAAAAGGUCACGACUUAAUGUAUGGA